rnacentral:rRNA from 1 species
GACGAACGCUGGCGGCGUGCUUAACACAUGCAAGUCGAACGGGAUUUCGUAGACAGCAGCCUCUGCUAAAGAUUACUAAUGAGAGUGGCGAACGGGUGAGUAACGCGUGAGCAACCUGCCUAUGACAGUGGGAUAGCCUCGGGAAACCGGGAUUAAUACCGCAUAAAAUCGUAGAAACACACGUUUUAACGGUCAAAGAUUUAUCGGUCAUAGAUGGGCUCGCGUCUGAUUAGCUAGUUGGUGAGAUAACAGCCCACCAAGGCGACGAUCAGUAGCCGGUCUGAGAGGAUGAACGGCCACAUUGGAACUGAGACACGGUCCAAACUCCUACGGGAGGCAGCAGUGGGGAAUAUUGCACAAUGGGGGAAACCCUGAUGCAGCGACGCCGCGUGAACGAAGAAGGUAUUCGUAUCGUAAAGUUCUGUCCUAUGGGAAGAUAAUGACAGUACCAUAGAAGAAAGCUCCGGCUAAAUACGUG